GUGGUUAGUUUAGUGAAUUUGUAGAUACGUUUAUGAAAUUUGUGGAUUAUAGGAUGAGGAAUUUUAAAGGUUACUUGAUUAAUCUAAUUAAUUUUUUUUCAGAUUGUUAGGAAAAACAAGCUUGCCCUUCAUUAUAAAGAUCUGUUUAGUGUGCCUAGUAGUCAUGCAGGUACAUCAUCUUCAGCCCACACUUCGCAGAGGAUAUGGAGAGAAGGAGUAGUCAGGAGUAUUUCUCGGAGUUCAAUAACCCCUAGCUAAUUUUUUCCCUUUUUUUUACUGUACUAUAAAUUUGAAAUUUAAAUAUUUAUAAAAUAUUUUUGAAUUUUUUGAUUAUUUAUUUUUUUUUUAUAAUUUUUGUUCAUUAACUUAAUUCUAAUUUUUUUAAUAUAAAAACAUGAAUCAAAGUAAACCUGUAGCUAAUUCUACGUAAAUUUAACGAGUAAUUAACGUGAAAGUAUACAUAAAUUUCUCGUAAAAAUUUACUUCGAAUUUAUUAGGGAAGCCAUGCAAAUUCGUCAUAAAUUUUAUGUGGACUUUACUAUGAUUAUUUGAGUUUAUUUUAUGAAGAAGCUGACGUCGUUAGUUUGCUUGUUUAUUACGACGAAAUAUUAGACGUCUGUGUUACGACGAAAUAUUUUUUCGUAAUUUUACGACAAUUUACGAAGAAAUAUGAUUUACGAUGGACGAAAUUCGAGAUUAUUUCGUCGUGACGUGUUUUUUUACAACGAAUUUAGAUUUUUGGAAUCGUGGAA
rnacentral:lncRNA from 1 species